AAAUUGAAGAGUUUGAUCAUGGCUCAGAUUGAACGCUGGCGGCAGGCCUAACACAUGCAAGUCGAGCGGCAGCGGGAAAGUAGCUUGCUACUUUUGCCGGCGAGCGGCGGACGGGUGAGUAAUGCCUGGGAAAUUGCCCAGUCGAGGGGGAUAACAGUUGGAAACGACUGCUAAUACCGCAUACGCCCUACGGGGGAAAGCAGGGGACCUUCGGGCCUUGCGCGAUUGGAUAUGCCCAGGUGGGAUUAGCUAGUUGGUGAGGUAAUGGCUCACCAAGGCGACGAUCCCUAGCUGGUCUGAGAGGAUGAUCAGCCACACUGGAACUGAGACACGGUCCAGACUCCUACGGGAGGCAGCAGUGGGGAAUAUUGCACAAUGGGGGAAACCCUGAUGCAGCCAUGCCGCGUGUGUGAAGAAGGCCUUCGGGUUGUAAAGCACUUUCAGCGAGGAGGAAAGGUUGGCGCCUAAUACGU
rnacentral:rRNA from 1 species